CAUUAAGUUUAUUAAACUAAUUAUCAGAAAAAUGUGGUACAACAUGUGUUUAGGUUUUUUAUUGAUAUUUCAGAGUUUUCGUAUGUGAGGUAAUCUUGCUGGGAGUGAAGGCAGUGUGUAUGACCGCUUGAUAUGAGAGACACGUCCUGUUUUUAAAGGUGGAUCGUGAGUGAAGCUCUGCAGGUCCGCCAUUGGCUUGAUAACAGUUGUUUAUGUGAAUUGAGUGAAUUCAAUUUAUAAAUAAAUCUUUCACCAAGCAUUCACAUGUUUACUGACAAAACAGAUCCAAAUCUUGUUCGACUUGAUGCUCAACCUUGUAUGAUGAUGACCACAGCCAGGUGAUGGAGAUCUGUGUUAAUCACAGAUCAACAUGACAAUAGCAGACCAUUUCUUAUCUUACUCUUAUCUGACUAAAUGUUCAGCACACAAAAGAAACAUUGGAUGGAGUAUUGGAGUAUGUACUGUACAAUGAGCCAGCAAACAAAAUAAUAUGGACUUUUUUGGUGAGAUUCUACAAAGAUUGACACAAUCCUAUUGACUUUUAUUUUUACAUUUAAUAAUGCAUUAUAAACAUCCCAUUCAUUUGUAUUCUAUGUCAUCGAUCUGUUUGUGCUAAAAUGUAUGCAUCUGAAUAUAAUGUCAUAUGUUAAUAUUCAGAAUUUAUUAUCAUUUGCAUGUUUUGAUGUUGCAUGUCAUGAUUUUAUUGAUUUCAUGUAAUUGUUGUCUUUUUAGAAUGAUUUUAAUUGCCAAAUUUUAUUGUUAAUUUAUUUAAUAUUGAAGCUGUUAUUUAACAUCCAUAUCUUAUUUGAGUACUGAUUUGUUAUAUUUGCAUAAUAAUUCAUAUAUUUAUUCUGAUUGUAAUUUAAUGCACAUAUUUAUUAUUGUAUGAUAUCCCAUGUAAUGAAAAAGUGAAAAUAAAAGUAUUU